rnacentral:rRNA from 1 species
GACGAACGCUGGCGGCGUGCCUAAUACAUGCAAGUAGAACGCUGAAGGAGGAGCUUGCUUCUCUGGAUGAGUUGCGAACGGGUGAGUAACGCGUAGGUAACCUGCCUGGUAGCGGGGGAUAACUAUUGGAAACGAUAGCUAAUACCGCAUAAGAGUAGAUGUUGCAUGACAUUUGCUUAAAAGGUGCAAUUGCAUCACUACCAGAUGGACUUGCGUUGUAUUAGCUAGUUGAUGGGGUAACGGCUCACCAAGGCGACGAUACAUAGCCGACCUGAGAGGGUGAUCGGCCACACUGGGACUGAGACACGGCCCAGACUCCUACGGGAGGCAGCAGUAGGGAAUCUUCGGCAAUGGACGGAAGUCUGACCGAGCAACGCCGCGUGAGUGAAGAAGGUUUUCGGAUCGUAAAGCUCUGUUGUAAGAGAAGAACGAGUGUGAGAGUGGAAAGUUCACACUGUGACGGUAUCUUACCAGAAAGGGACGGCUAACUACGUG